GCAGAGACACCAACCAUGUGGCGAGGAUAACUGACUGUAAAUCAGUGGCUUAAUUGCUUUGGCGGUUCGACUCCGUCUCUCUGCACCA
rnacentral:tRNA from 1 species